rnacentral:rRNA from 1 species
GACGAACGCUGGCGGCGUGCUUAACACAUGCAAGUCGAACGGAAAGGCCCUGCUUUUGUGGGGUGCUCGAGUGGCGAACGGGUGAGUAACACGUGAGUAACCUGCCCUUGACUUUGGGAUAACUUCAGGAAACUGGGGCUAAUACCGGAUAGGAGCUCCUGCUGCAUGGUGGGGGUUGGAAAGUUUCGGCGGUUGGGGAUGGACUCGCGGCUUAUCAGCUUGUUGGUGGGGUAGUGGCUUACCAAGGCUUUGACGGGUAGCCGGCCUGUGAGGGUGACCGGCCACAUUGGGACUGAGAUACGGCCCAGACUCCAACGGGAGGCAGCAGUGGGGAAUAUUGCACAAUGGGCUGAAGCCUGAUGCAGCAACGCCGCGUUCGGGAUGACGGCCUUCGGGUUAUAAACCGCUUUCGCCUGUGACGAAGCGUGAGUGACGGUAAUGGGUAAAGAAGCACCGGCUAACUACGUG